GGCGGCGUAGACCCUGGACCGCAUUGUCAUAGAUGGUGUUCACGCUGGUGCAGAGGGCAGCAGCAGCAGCUUCAGCACAGCCCAGGAACGAGUGUGCUUCCGGGGUGGUGGCUUGCGGGGACGGGAGCCAGACUUAGAUUCUGGAGGAAAAGUAACAGUAGACAAAGCAAGUUCAGUCAGAGGAGACCUGCUCUAUACUAAUCUCUGCUAGUCUCCUCCGUGCAGAUCUACCUACAUUCCUUCCUCAAGCAAAAACUCCCCAGGCCCUGAAGAGAAAAAAUGUCUCCACAGACCGAAACAGAAACAACUUUUCCCUUGGAUCUGAAGGGGGUAGAUUUGCAACUGGCACUCAUUCUGCGUGUCUCAUGUAGCUCACAGCCCUCAGGGUCCUAAGUUCUCCUUGGUAACAUGGUGAUCCACGCCUCUUGGGAUCGCAGAGGGAGAGGCUUAUCAGGAAGCAUCCAGCGCUGACAGAGUACUGUCCACUUGGGGAAACACGGUCAGGAUUUAUCAUUAUUGUCAUUAUUAUGAUAUAAUGUGUAUAUAAAAAGAAAGCCCAAAAGGUAAUACACCAUAUUGUAAGCAGUGAUGAUUGCUAGGAAUGGGGGAGUACAGGUGGUUGCCAUUUUCUGAUAUAUGUAUCUAGAUAGAUAGGUAUCUUUUCUCAAUUCUUUGCAAUGAACAUAUGUUACAUUUUUAAUUAGAAAAAAAUUGGUUUUGAGAUUUUUAGACAAAAUUUUUAAAAACUUGACUGAUCAUCCACAAUGCCAGGAACUGCAUGAUCCUGCUUCCUCAUUUAAUCCUUAUCACUACCCUGUAUGAUCUUCAUUUUCAACAAGGAAAUUAAAAACCAGUGAGAUCAGGAAGGUGGAGGCCUGUGGCCCUGUCCUGGUCAAGACAAGGGUGAGUAGGGGCAGGGCCACAGGCCUCCACUCUCUGUACAGAGCUCCUUCCCUCACCUGCCUCUCCCUCAGGAGUCCCUUUUCACCCAGAGGGUAUCUGAUCCUCUGCAGCAUGUGGAGCCACGUCACUAACGAAAUUCAACCAUAGUCAGGUAAAACACAAAAAUGUGUUUUCUAUACAAUGUGGCUCCCUGAAUGCAGGCCAAAUGACUCCUCUAGUGUUCAAGCAGUGAGGGGUCUCACUGUUGCCCAGGCUGGUCGUAAAUGAUCCUCCUGCUUCAGCCUCCCAAGUAGCUGGGACCACAGGUGUGUGCCACUACACUUGGCUAAUUUUUUAAUUUAUGUAGAGACAGAGUCUCUAUGUUGCUCAGGCUGGUCUCAAACUCCUGGGCUCAAGUGAUCUCUUCUCACCUUAGCCUCCCAAAGCACUGGGAUUAAAGGCCUGAGCCACAGAACUUUACUGUAAGGCACUUUUAAGAGUAAACUUGCCGGGCACAGUGGCUCACACCUGUAAUCCCAGCACUUGGGGAGGCCGAGGCAGGCGGAUUACCUGAGGUCGGGAGUUUGAGACCAGCCCGACCAACAUGCAGAAACCACAUCACUACUAAAAAUACAAAAUUAGCUGGGCGUGGUGGCACAUGCCUGUAAUCCCAGCUACUUUGGAGGUUGAGGCAAGAGAAUCUCUUGAACCCAGGAGACGGAGGUUGCAGUGAGCCGAGAUCACGCCAUUGCACUCCAGCCUGGGCAACAAGAGUGAAACUCUGUCUCAAAAAAAAAAAAAAAGGAAACUUGACCAUGUGUGUGAUUUUUGCAUAUCUCAAUGAUUUUAGACCCUCACCUCUAAAAAAAAGUGAGACUCUGUUCUGGGAAUGCUUCAAGAUACAUCUGACCCAAACACCUGCACAGAAGUAUGUGGGCACUGGAGAAACAAACAAGCUGGGCACUGCCUCCCUAGGAGAGUCCCCCAUUCCCCGUAACCAAACCUUCUCAUCCACUCCCAAGCUUUAGAGUGUACUUUAUCUAAGGUUUGCAGGCCUGCUCACCCCAGUUGUCUAUGCCUGGAAACAUGAGUGUCUCCACUGUACCCCUGCUGGAAUCUUACAACAGGCAGAAAACUUACUCGGGGCCUGAUUUGCUUCCUUCUUAGGUUUCUUCUCCUGCUCCCGCUUGGCUGCUUUGAGGGCAUCAUACUCCUUUCUCCGGCGCUCCUUCUCUUCCGCCUUCUCCCGCUUCCGCAGUUCCCGCUCCUGAGCUUCCUUAGCUCGCUGCUUAGCCUCACGCUUCUUCUCUGCCUCUACAACAAAACAUACCAAAAUUUGACUUCUCUCUCACAAACACUCCAGCAGUUUGCUUUCCCAAGUGAUUAAAAGUACAGAUUCUGCCACCUUUACCCUGGUGCCAUGGUUCACAUAAGAAAUAUUCAAAGGAAACAGCCAUCCUUCUGCUCCUGGAAGUAGCCCUCCCCAAAAGCAGCUGCUCUCAGGGUUUGCUGAAUGGUUUCUGAUUACGAGGUUCCUAUCCUCAAGCAGCAGAGAAAUUAGGGUAAAAUAACAAGGAGGACCUAAGAAAGGCAUGAGGGAUAAGUGGUGCUCCUCUAGAAUUAGGUACUAACUCAGAAGGCAUAGCAACUGAUUGCCUUCUAGAACUCAGCUAUGAAGAGAAAAAACCAUGGCAGUUUUCUAUGGGACUCCUAUCUUCCCAAGCUUCAGAAAUGAAUGUGGUAUGGGGGGACAAGUGAGAAGAGAAAAUGAGCACUCAAGUUUAGGGUUAGAAACAAUGACGCCAGGAGCAGUAGUUCAUGCCUAUAACCCUAGGACUUUGGGAGGUGAAGCUGGGAGUAUCACUUGAGGCCAGGAGUUCAAGACCAGCCUGGGCAACAUAGCAAGACUGUCUAUAAAAAAACGAAAAAAUUAGCUGGGUGUGCUGGCGCAUGCCUGUAGUCCCAGCUACCUGGGAGGCUGAAGUGGGAGGAUCUAUUGAGCUCAGGAAGUGGAGGUUGCAGUGAACCAUGAUCGUGCCACUGCACUCCAGCCUGGGUGACAGUGAGACCAUGCCUCAAAGAAAAUAAAAGAAAAAAAGUAACAAUGGCAAUGUGUUCUAAAAAAGUGAACCUACCUUCUUACUACUGCACUGACUAUUUUUUUUUUUUAAGGCUAGUCAAGUGAAGCAGUGGGAGUGGAGAAGGAAGAAAGAAAUCUCUAACUGGUUGUGAUGAAUUAGUUGUAAACACCACUGCACUAGGACCAGCCUGCACUUGACUAGUCUUAAAAAACAAAUACUUGAACUCAUGAAUCUGAGAACUGAACACAGGAACACAUUCAGAUUUACUCAAUGGUUCAAGCAUGUUUGCAAACUUCCAAAUUACAACCUCCAAAUUAUUGGGUUCUAAAAAUGCAUUUCCAAAUUAGUUAUUUGGAAGUCUGAAAUACAUUUUGCCAAAGCCAGAAUGCCACAAAUGAUGGUUAAAUGUCCUUUUAGGGCUUAAAAGGCUAUGUUAGCCAUAAUGUAGCUGAAUAGUACUACUGUAAAUACUGUAGCUUUCCACUGCUUCUCCAUGUAGAAACAAGCUCCAAGUUCCAGCUGGGCACCAGAAUGCCAAGAACACACUCCACCCAGCCUCUAGGGAACAUGGGCCACUGAGAGGUGAAGGCAACAGGGGUCAGAGUAAACACGGGUAUGUCUUGCCACAGUGGCCAUGCGUAAUAAGGGAUGGCUGUAACUUGGCACGGUGCUCUCAGGGACUGCCUGUAAUCAGUACUGUACACAUCCCUUCUUGAACCACAAGAGUCCUCCAGUGAGGGGCUCAGAAAUCAGCCAGCCAGUCAACAGAGCACCUACUAUGUGCCAGGGGUUAUUUUAAGGGCUUGAGAUGCAGCAAUGGAGAAAACAGGCCACAUUCCAGUGCCUAUAUCAUUUACUUUCUAGAGAAGACAAUAAACAGGUGAACGUAACAAUGACAGUGAUCUGUGCCCUAAAGAAACUAGCAGAGGGGCACCUGUAGUCCCAGCUACUCAGGAGGCUGAGGCAGGAGAAUGGCUUGAAGCCAGGAGGCGGAGGUUGCAGUGAGCCGAGAUCGUGCCACCGCACUCCAGCCUGGGCAACAGAGCGAGACUCUGUCUCAAAAAAUAAUUAAAAAAAAAACUAGCAGAGGGUAUGACAGAGUGACAGGUAGAAUGGCUACUCUAAUCCAGUGGUUCUAAAAGGGUUACAGUUAACCUAAGGCAACAUUUGAGCAGAGAUGUGGGAUUAUGAAGCCAGCACUUAAAGAGACUAAGGGAAAAGGAAACCCAGCAAAGCCCCUGAGUGAGACUGCAGUUGGUGUACUCAAGCUGAAGUUAAUGGCCCAGUUUCACUUGUGUGUGCAACAAGGCCGGUGGAGAGCAGGCAAGUAAGCUUGGGCCAAGGUGGGUUUUGCUGGCCUUGUCAAUGAGUUUGGAUUUCAUUCUAAGUUCAGUGGGAUGCCAUUAGAGGGUUUUAAGCAAGUAGCAGCAUAAUUAUUUAUGUUGUAAAAAGAUCUCCCAGACUGUUGUGAAGAGAAUGAGUUUAAGGAGAUGGCAGCAUCAUGGAGACAUGCUGGAAGGCAUUGUGAUGGUCCCAGAAUGGUGGCUGGUUAGAGAUGGCACCGGAGCUGGAGAAACAGUCCCACAUAGGACUUGCUGACAGAUUGGAUGUGGGAAUUACAGAAAAAAAGGAGUCAUUAACAUCUUUCCUAUUUUAGGCUUGAAUAACUAUAGGGAAAGUGAUUUCCUAUUACAGGGAACACUGGGAGGGACUGAAGGGCCAUCAGGAAUCUGUUUUAGCCACAUUUCAUAUGAAUGCCUAUUAACCCUCCAAGCAGAGAUGAAAUAUAAGCAGUUGACUGCCUCUAGAGCACAGCAGAGAAGCCAGGACUGAAGAGAGAUUCAUCAGAUAAAGACGAUACCAUCCACCACAAUACUGUCCCCCCACCGCCCACUAACUGUUCUUCAUGACUACUCUACUGGAUCCCAGCUCCUGAAGCAUGAGAAUCCACUGGCUGGGAUGAGGACCUGAAAGAUAACUACAAGAGGGACAGCCACCUACCACGUUCUACUUCCAGCCGCCGCUGCCUCUCCCGCUCCUGAUCUGCCUGCACGGCCUUCAUGUGCUGUAACACCUGCAAAGGAAAAGGAGGAAAGUAGUGCUCUUCAUAGUCAUGUUUGCUCAGGGAAGUCUCAAAAAACAGACUAUUUUCAGGCUUCCAGAUUAUCAUGGUAGCAAUGUAGAACUAAUAAGAGUUAGGCUGAAUGUGGUGGCUCACGCCUGUAACCCCAACACUCUGGGAAGCCGAGAUAGAAGGACUGCUUGAGCCCAGGAGUUCAAGACAAGCCUCGGCAACAUAAUGAGACCCUGUCUCUACAGAAAAAUGUAAAAAAUUGGCCAGGCACAGCGGCAGAUGCCUGUAGUCUCAGCUACUUAGGAGGCCAAGGAGAGAGGAUUACUUGAACCCAGAAGGUCAAGGCUGCAGUGAGCUGUGGUCACGCCAUGGCACUCCAGUCUGGGUGAAGACUGAGACCCUAUCUCAAAACAACAACCACCACCACCACCACCACCAAACUAAUAGAGUUAAUUGUAUCUUUGUAUCCUAAAAUUACUGUGCCAACCUUAGUUGGAGAAGAGUGCUAUGAGCCAAGGUCAUUAAAACUGUCAGAAAAAAGUGAAACACAAUGCCAACUCGAAUCUGUAAAAAGUUCUGCCAUUUACACUCACUGUCACAUGCAUGAUUCCAUAUGACCCUCAGCAACAACUUGGGAACAGCAUUUCCUCCAACACGCUUUCCUGACUGCCCCUCCUGUGGCUACCUUAAGUCCCCCUCCAUCUACUCCUGUGGAAUUCAACACAGGACAUUGUAGCUACUUGCUACCUAUCUGGCUUGGUCAUAAGAUGGCAGAUUCCUUAAUGGCAGGAACCGCUGUCUGGUCUGUAGGUAUCACACAGGGGCGUGGCUAGCACAGAGUUUAGCUAAUUGCAGGCAUUCAAUACAUACAUGAGGAAUGGCUAAUUCCCAUUUCAAAAGGAAGAAAACCAAGACUCAUAGGGUGAUUUGUCCACUGCUAAUGGCCAGAAAGCAGCACAGCUAAGACCUGAGCACAGUCCCCUGCAUUCCUAGGGCAGAGCUUGUCGCACACACUUUCACCACAUGCAGAGGAGAGCUCCGAGAGAAGCCUACACACAGCACACUUGUACUCGGCAAUCUGAGCUCCCCAGAUCCACAUAAACUCGCUCAUGGAUGACCUCUAACCACACAAUCACAAAGAUUCUCGCUAUGGUGGGUGGAGGAGGUAAAGACCUUUUCUGUUUGUAUUUUUUUAAAGGUGGUAUUCUUUGGCUGUAGGGGAUAGAGUGUAAGCUUGGAGCCCAACGCAAUCCUGACUACCCCUUAUUGUAUAACCUUGGCAAGUGACUUAACCUUUCUGAGCCGAUUUUCUGAUCGAGAAAACAGAGAUAAGAUAUACUUCUAUGGAGUGUUGUGAAGAAUAAAUAAUAUAACUUGUAUUGGCUGCCUUGUAUAAUCUCUGGCAUUAUAUGUGCUCAGUAAGUACUGCUGCUUAUUUUCUUUACCAUGUGAGUAAGAAAAAAGAAGAAAACCCAAACUAUUAGCAAAAGGGUCUUGUUUUACUACUGCACUUAACAAUUACAUUUGAAUAUGCAUGCGCACGAGACAGACAUGUAUAUUCAUAUGUAAUUCUUAUUUCUAGAAAACUCCAGACACGCAUACCUCCAGACAAGCACACACCCAUCAUAAGAAGUAUUCAGGAGCAGACCAGCAAAAGGAUCUCCUUUCAAAAGCCUGGUUUGGGCCAGGCGCGGUGGCUCACACCUGUAAUCCCACACUUUGGGAGGCCAAGGUGGGCAGAUCACUGGAGCUCAGGAGUUCAAGACCAGCCUGACCGAUAUGGUGAAACUCCCAUCUCUACUAAAAAAUACAAAAAUUAGCUGGGUGUGGUGGUGUGCGCCUGUAAUCCCAGCUACUCAGGAGGCUGAGGCAGGAGAAUCUCUUGAACCCGGGAGGUGGAGGUUGCAGUGAGCUGAGAUUGCGCCACUGCACUCCAGCCUGGACGAUAGAGCGUGACUCUGUCUCAAAAAAAAAAAAAAAAAAAGAAAAAGGAAAGAAAUCAGGUCUGGACCCAGAGUUAGGGCUCAGGGCACUCAGGCAGUAGAGAAGUUAUGGGUCCCGUUGCCAUGAUUGCAGGGAGAGUGUGGAAAGUAAGAGUCCAGGGUGUUGGCUGAGGAAAAGGAGUGAGGGGAGUGGAUCACCUGAGGUCAGGAGUUCAAGACAAGCCUGGCCAACAUGGUGAAACCCCAUCUCUACUAAAAAUGCAAAAAUUAGCCAGUCAUGGUGGCAUGCCCCUGUAAUCCCAGCUACUUGGGAAGCUGAGGUGGGAGAACUGCUUGAACCCGGGAGGCGCAGGUUGCAGUGAACUGAGAGUGCGCCACUGCCCUCCAGCUUGGGUGACAGAGCAAGACCCCAUGUCAAAAAAAAAAAAAUUAAUUAUCUGAAAACACAGGCAAUGCAGAAAUGGGACAGAUUGUCAUAGUCUGGAGUCUGUGAGCUCCUGGAGGGUAAAUUUUUGUCUAGCUACUCUAGUUCAUAGCAUACAGUAAGCACUUGAUGAAUACAUUGAACAAAUCAUUUUUAAAAAUUGCUUUAAUAUGUACCAAGCAGAUUAAGACUAACCCAUAUACCCACCAGGGUUUAGGUCUUACCUGGUCAGAGCUAGUAAGACCUAAACUAAUUCCUGCAGACAGACGACCUGAUUCUGACUGGCCCAGGCCAUUUCCCUACAAAGCCUAAAGGUGUGCUGCAGCUCUAGGACAGCUGUGCUAGGGACCAUGGCUUUAGUUACCACAUCCACUAUGCUGCCUGGAGCUUUGUCUGAAAGACAUAUGCAAAUACAAAAGGCCUUUGUACUCAAUCAAAAUUAUUUUUGUAUGUCAAAAACUGGAAUAUCAUCAAUUUCCUAUGGUUCCACAUAUUACCUACUGAAUGAAUGGAUGGAUGGAUGAAUGAAAGGUGUGUAUAUGCUGAGGGUUUCUUGUGUCAGAGAAAUGAAAGUAAUGCCGACUCCUCAGGGCUCUGAGGAUUGUGAGAUGGUGCAUGGAAAGCAUCCAGGACAAGGAAAGAGUAAUCAAUGGUAGCUACUGUCAGCUUGCAGAACAGACAUCACUCCUACAGCACCUAGUUUUCAAAAGAGGAUUUCACUGAUCACUUAUACUGUUCUCAUCUAAGGGAAAACUCUUGUCUUAGCUACUUGGUUAACUUUGUGCUUGAUUUGUUGUAAUAAGAGAUGAUACAGAUGACAAGAUUAUAUAAGAAGCCCUGAGCUAAUGAUAAGAAGUAUCUUACUCUCUUACUCUCUACUUGAGACAGCAGAGACUCAUCAUUCACCCAUGAAUUCUAGUAUUUAAAGUUAAGUCUUUUUUGUUCAACAUGCACCUUAAACAUAGCCAAGUUAGUCAUCUGGUGCUCAGCUGAAGCAGCAGCAAUCUGUUCCAAAGCUGGAGGGAAAAAGUGACUAUAGUUGGAGUUAUUAAGAGAUAGGUGUAAUGCUGUUCUUAAUAGGUAGGGUACGGCACCUUCCAGGCUACUGACCACAGACAAUAGUUGUCUUGCAUGCUGCUUUCAGUUCCUCACUCCUAUGUCAGAUGACUCAACUGUAAUCAAAUACCAGGUCUGCCCAGGACGUGCCUGCUUACAGCUGUAACACCUUUAUCAUCGCUUUUAUUAUCAACAUUCCUACGACUGUGCCUCAGAAAGGCCACAGCCCCUAACCCCCGGUACUAUUAAAACAACUGUCCACACAGUGUCAUGUUGCAUCACGCAAGGUCCCGGCUCCUUAAGAGAGGAAGUACUGCAGUAGAGAAGGCAGUCUUGUUCUGCGACUUGCGAACUAAGUGCAGGCCAGGCAUGGUGGCUCACGCCUAUAAUCCCAGCACUUUGGAAGGCCAAGGUGGGCGAAUCAUUUGAGGUCGGGAGUUGGAGACCAGCCUGGCCAACGUGGCGAAACACCAUCUCCACUAAAAAAUACAAAAAUUAGCUGAGCAUGGUAGCAGGCGUCUGUAAUCUCAGCUACUCGGGAGGCUGAGGCAGGAGAAUCGCUUGAACCUGGGAGGCGGAGGUUGGAGUGGGCCGAGAUUGUGCCACUUGCACUCCAACCUGGGCAACAGAGCAACUCUGUCUCAAAACAAAUAAAAAACAAAAAGAUAAAGUAAAUGCAGAAACAAAGGUCUCUGUUUGACAGGCUCAUAGUGGACAUAUUUCACUCGGACCUGAAUGCUUAACUCCACACAAAGCUCCAGGUGCCCUAGGAGGGAAAAACAGGAGGAGGAGAAAUCCCAGGGAGUGUAUAAGGAGCCACUGGGAGGGAGCUUGGUGCUUACCUUGUUUGCACACUGCUUACACUGCUUCUCAUCCAAGCAGUCACCUGCCACCUUGGCCAGGACAGGAUCCAGGGGGUUAUCCUUCAGGUCCAACCACUUCAGGUUCUAAAGAGAUGGGCGAUGGGCAAAGAGGCUCAUUAAGCCCGAGUUCACAUACAUAGUCCCUCAGGG
rnacentral:lncRNA from 1 species